rnacentral:rRNA from 1 species
GACGAACGCUGGCGGCGUGCUUAACACAUGCAAGUCGAACGGAAAGGCCCUGCUUGCGUGGGGUGCUCGAGGGGGGAACGGGGGAGGAAGACGUGAGUAACCUGCCCUUGACUUUGGUGUAAGUUCACGAAACGGGGGCUAAUACCGGAUAGGAGCUCCCGCUGCGUGGUGGGGGUUGGAACUUCGCGGCGGUCGGGGAUGGACUCGCGGCUUAUCGGCUUGCUGGUUGGGUAGUCGCUUACCAAGGCUGUGGCGGGUAGCCGGCCUGAGAGCGUGACCGGCCACAUUGGGCCUACGAUACGGCCCAGACUCCUACGGGAGGCAGCAGUGGGGAAUAUUGCACAAUGGGAGCGAGCCUGAUGCAGCGACGCCGCGUGCGGGAUGACGGCCUUCGGGUUGUGAACCGCUUUCGCCUGUGACGAAGCGUGAGUGACGGUAAUGGGUAAAGAAGCACCGGCUAACUACGUG